UGGCCUGGAAGGGCGUGCUCCGGUUCGAGCCCCGCCCCUCCAGCCAAGGAUUAAGGGGCGGGACGCACCUCGCUUCCACAGUAGACAGUCAUGGACGUCUCCAGUGUAGGUAACCGGGGCGAGGCCCCCUGGAAGAAGAUGUCUACAGAGGAAUUGGAGAAUCAAUACUCCCCGAGCAGAUGGGCGGUCCAAAUGAGACCAGAGGAAGCCUUGAAGACCUACCUCCAGAUAGGAAUCGAGGGUACUGCCACCAGGAGGGCCCGGGCCACCAGGAGGAGCCUGCUGCACGUGCCUUACGGAGACAGCGAAGGGGACAAAUUGGACGUCUACCUUCCCCGGGAGGCGACAGAAGCCCUCCCCUGCUUCGUGUUUUUCCAUGGAGGAUACUGGCAGAGUGGAAGUAAAGACGAAUCUGCCUUCAUGGUGGAAGCCCUGACAGCACAAGGAGUGGCAGUGGUGAUUGUGGAUUAUGACAUUGCUCCCAGAGGCACCCUGGCCCAGAUGGUAGAUCAGGUGACACGGAGUGUGGCGUUUGUGCAGAGGCAGCAUCCGCGCAAUGGGGGAAUUUACCUGUGUGGACACUCAGCUGGGGCCCACCUGACUGCCAUGAUGCUCCUGGCCAACUGGACCAAGUUUGGAGUCGUGCCCAACCUCAAAGGCUUCUUCCUGGUGAGUGGGAUCUACGACCUGGAGCCUAUCAUGUUCACCUCGAAUAAUGCCCUUCUGCACUUAGCACCGGAGGAUGCCCAGAAGAACAGCCCCCAGCUGCUGGUGGCCCUGACACAGCCGGCAGACCCUACCUGCCACGUGCAGGUGAUUGUGGGCCAGCACGACUCCCCAGAGUUCCAGCGCCAGUCCAGGGAGUUUUAUCAGGCCCUGUGCCAAGGAGGGUGGAAAGCCUCUUUUGAAGAACUCUGCAAUGUGGAUCACUUUGAAAUCAUUGAGAAUCUGACCCAGAAGGACGAUGUGCUCACGCAGAUUAUUUUGAAAACAAUCUUUCAGAAGUUUUGAGGACACCUAGACCCCAGCUUGUGUGCACCCCAACUCCUGGCGCCUACUCAAAGAGCACAGCUGGUGCUUCUCCCAGUGCCCAGCCCCGCCUGGCUGUGGGAUUUACUAUUGCUGGGAACUGCUGCUUGGAGGAGAGAAAGGCCAAGUCCGUGCUGUGGGUCAGCCCACCUGGCUAGCUCUUGCUCUGGCUCAUGACCCAGGCCCUGUCCCCUAGCACAAGAUGGUGAUGAAGAUGGCUGCCGGUGGUCUCCACUUAUUCUGGCAUAAAAUAACUGGAUGGAGCAGGAGUAGAUGAACAGACAGACUCAGGAGCUGGGCCCGUCCUAGCCCGGAAAGGCCACAUCUCAAACCCUUUGUUUCUGUCUCUUAAAAAAAAAACAAACCCCGCUGUACAAAGCCAGUUAUUGAACCAACCCACCAGACUGUGGAAAACAUAAACCUAAUCCUUGUUGCAUGCCUUCUGCUGGCAUUCUUCCUAGAGGGGUUUAGACUUCAAACAUAAAAACUAAUACCAGAAUCUGUAAGCUAUGGUUCUGUUUAUAAAAAAGAAAAUGAAAACAGGGUGGCGCCUGUGGCUCAGCGGGUAGGGCGCUGGCCCCAUAUCCUGAGGGUGCUGGGUUCAAACCCGGCCCCGGCCAAACU